AGCAGCCGCAGUAAUUCCAGCUCCAAUAGCGUAUAUUAAAGUUGUUGCAGUUAAAAAGCUCGUAGUUGAAUUUCGGGGUCAGUAGGUUGGUCGUGCCACUGGUAUGCACUGGUCUCACUGAUUCCUCCUUCCUGAUGAACCGUAAUGCCAUUAAUUUGGUGUUGCGGGGAAUCUGGACUGUUACUUUGAAAAAUUUAGAGUGUUUAAAGCAGGCUAACGCUUGAAUACAUUAGCAUGGAAUAAUGAAAUAGGACGAUCGAUCCUAUUUUGUUGGUUUCUAGGAUUGACGUAAUGAUUAAUAGGGAUAGUUGGGGGCAUUAGUAUUCAAUUGUCAGAGGUGAAAUUCUUAGGAUUUAUUGAAGACUAACUACUGACGAAAGCAUUUGCCAAGGAUGUUUUCAUUAAUCAAGAACGAAAGUUAGGGGAUCGAAGACGAUCAGAUACCGUCGUAGUCUUAACCAUAAACUAUGCCGACUAGGGAUCGGAUGAUGUUUAAUUUUUAUGUACUCAUUC
rnacentral:rRNA from 1 species